rnacentral:rRNA from 1 species
UGAGGAACAUGACCUUCGGCGGGGGAUAGCCGGCCCAACGGCCGGGUAAUACCGCGUACGACCACAUGGGGACAUCCCUGAGUGGUGAAAGCAGCAAUGCGCCGAUGGAGUGCCUCGCGGCCUAUCAGCUAGUUGGUGAGGUAACGGCUCACAAGGCGACGACGGGUANCUGGUCUGAGAGGAUGGGCCAGCCCAACUAGUUGGGGACUGGAACGACCGACCGGCCCAGUACCUCGUACGGGGAGG